rnacentral:rRNA from 1 species
AGAAUUUUUCACAAUGGGCGAAAGCCUGAUGGAGCGACGCCGCGUGGGGGAUGAAUGGCUUCGGCCCGUAAACCCCUGUCAUUUGCGAGCAAAUCCGCCGGUUAAACAGACUGGCGGGCUGAUAGUAGCGAAAGAGGAAGGGACGGCUAACUCUGGGCCAGCAGCAGCGGUAAUACAGAGGUCCCGAGCGUUGUUCGGAUUUACUGGGCGUAAAGGGUGCGUAGGUGGUAGGGUAAGUUCGGUGUGAAAGCUUCGAGCUCAACUCGGAAAUGGCAUUGAAUACUAUCCUGCUUGAGGAUCGGAGGGGAGACUGGAAUUCUCGGUGUAGCAGUGAAAUGCGUAGAUAUCGAGAGGAACACCAGUGGCGAAGGCGGGUCUCUGGACGAUUCCUGACACUGAGGCACGAAAGCUAGGGGAGCAAAC